CUGCGUGGGGCAGCUACCAUGCAAGUCGAGCGGAAACAAAGUACUUGCUACUCUGGCGUCGAGCGGCGGACGGGUGAGUAAUGCUUGGGAACAUGCCUUGAGGUGGGGGACAACAGUUGGAAACGACUGCUAAUACCGCAUAAUGUCUACGGACCAAGGGGGGCUUCGGCUCUCGCCUUUAGAUUGGCCCAAGUGGGAUUAGCUAGUUGGUGAGGUAAUGGCUCACCAAGGCGACGAUCCCUAGCUGGUUUGAGAGGAUGAUCAGCCACACUGGGACUGAGACACGGCCCACACUCCUACGGGAGGCAGCAGUGGGGAAUAUUGCACAAUGGGCGCAAGCCUGAUGCACCCAUGCCGCGUGUGUGAAGAAGGCCUUCGGGUUGUAAAGCACUUUCAGUCAGGAGGAAAGGUUAGUAGUUAAUACCUGCUAGCUGUGACGUUACUGACAGAAGAAGCACCGGCUAACUCCGUGCCAGCAGCCGCGGUAAUACGGAGGGUGCGAGCGUUAAUCGGAAUUACUGGGCGUAAAGCGUACGCAGGCGGUUUGUUAAGCGAGAUGUGAAAGCCCCGGGCUCAACCUGGGAACUGCAUUUCAAACUGGCAAACUAGAGUGUGAUAGAGGGUGGUAGAAUUUCAGGUGUAGCGGUGAAAUGCGUAGAGAUCUGAAGGAAUACCGAUGGCGAAGGCAGCCACCUGGGUCAACACUGACGCUCAUGUACGAAAGCGUGGGGAGCAAACAGGAUUAUAUACUGUGGGUACACA
rnacentral:rRNA from 1 species